AGAGAAAUUUUCAAAAUUGAAAAGAAAUCACUCAUAAAGCGACAAGUGGCGAGGGAGUAAUGAAAUUGAAACUUAAAAUAACCCUCAUUUCUCUCUCUUGAAAAAAAACUCCAGAAGAAAAAACCAGUAAAUCAACUCUCUCUCCUCUCACUCCUAUUCACCUUCUUUUUUAAAAAAAAUAAAAUAAAAAACAGCUUCAUGUUUCAAGCCAAACCUUUCAUCUUAUCAUCCCACACAAACAUUAAAGAUCAACAUCUUUUGUGAAUAACGAUGGAUAUCAAUGUAAUGAAAUAGAAAGCAAAGAUCAACGGAAAGAGGGAAGAAAAAAAAAGGGUACCAUACUGAAGCAAGGUGGUUGUUGUUGUUGAAGGAAGAGAAGAUCUGGAGACGUGAGGGUCGUUUGGAGGUUGUUGUUCAUUAGCCGGAGACAGAAAUGCGUUUGUUAUAGGUUCAUGUGUUCUUGUGAUAUGGUGGAGUUUUAUGAAAUGUUGUGUUUAAAAAUGGAGAAUGAAGGUGUUCAUCAUGAAUAAUAAACUUCUUCAAAUUUUUACAUCUUCAUGUUCAUUUUUGGUGAGAUCAAAGAAAGAAAAUGUGUGGUGUUUACUGGGUAGUUUAUUUCGUGUUUCUUUUGAAAAAUCUUUUUUUGUGAUGUGUAUCUCUACGUUAACCUCUCUUCUGUUGUUAUUAUGAAGAAAAAAUUAAGUCUUAAAAAACUCCUUUUUUCUUUUUGAUUUUCUCAUCCCAGAUUAUGUGGGAUUUGAUCUGUUCUUGUUUAAGCCAUUGUUGUAAUGCCUUUUCAGAUGUUCCAAUUAAUCCUCUAGAUAAAGCUUCAAACUGAGUGAUUUAUUAGUUGUUUUUUUAGUUUUUUAAGUGCUUUUAAAAUAAGCUGUUUUGGUCUCUGCAGGUUACAACUGUGAGGUGGUUUUGAUGGAAUGGGAAGAAAGAGUAGGCUGUAAAUUAGGGACCUUUUUGCAGCAAAUUUCAUUUAGUUGAGAUGUAACUAUUUAGUUUAAUUUUUUUUAAGGACAAAAUGUGUGUUUGGAUUAUUUGGGACUUAUUGAAUUAAAUUUUAAUUAUGUAAUUACCUUUUAAGUUUUUCAAAAUUUAACUCAAUAUUUAUUUAUGCUAAUCAA
rnacentral:lncRNA from 1 species